AUUCCAGAAGUACAAGUCCGACCUAUAACGGAAUUCCAAUUUCCAAUUCCUUAUCAUUGUGAUUGUCCAUAAAGGAAAGAUAUCACAUAAUAAAUAUUCCUGAUAUAUUGUUUAUAAAAAAUAGACAUGCUAAGGCAAAGGCAUCAUUAAUUACAUACGAAUAAUUUUUUUUGGAACUUGUGUGUUAUUAGUCCAAAGUCAUAACAUAACCUAAAUAAAAUAUGUCAAAAACACAAUGAACAAAUUGACAUUACUUAAAUUUCUCCUUAAGAUAAAUAUAUAAAAAGAAGUAUAAAUGAACAUAUCAAAUCACUUCCAGUAGAAACUACAUAAAAGCUAUUUUUAUCAGGUAUUUCAUCGCCAGCAAGUUGCCAACACUUCCGGCGGAUGUGCGAGAGGAGAUACAACGGCAUCCGGCGCUAUUCUCGUAAUAAAAAUGUUUGUUUGUU